CUAAUCGAACGUUUUAAUUGGUAGCUUGCUACAUAAAUUAAAAAGUGGUGUACAGGUGAGUAUAAUGAUAUUCUUAGCCGACCUUAAAGUGGAGGUAAAUCCUUCAUAAUACAUAAAGGGAUAUGUAAUCCUGCUUUAAGAGGACAAUAAAUAUCUUCGGGAUAGGUAGUAGUUAAGGUGAUGGCUUAACUAGCCUAAAACUCUCGUAGUCGAAUCUGAAAGGUUGAUCGACCACAUUGGGUCUGAAAAAACCCCAAUGCAAGUUAGUACAGCAGUGAGGAAUCUUGGUCAAUGGCCUAACGGCUGAACUGGCAACUUGGAGAAGUGACAAGUCUUAUUUUGAUUAUAUUAUUAUAUAUAAUCUAUAAGAUUGUAUUAAAAUUGAAUAAAGCUUUGUUUAUAUAUCGAUAAUGACGGUAUAUAUAUCGUGUCUUGGCUAAUUACGUGCCAGCAGCCGCGGUAAUACGUAGAGAGACUAGUGUUAUUCAUCUUAAUUAGGUUUAAAGGGUACCUAGACGGUCAAUAUAGCUUCUAUAAUGUUAGUACUUGACUAGAGUUUGAUAUAAGAGGGCAGUACUUGAGGAGGAGAGAUGAAAUUCUAUUAUACCAAAGGGACUCGGUAAAGGCGAAGGCAGCCCUCUAUGUAAAAACUGACGUUGAAGGACGAAGGCACAGAGCACAAACAGGAUUAGAUACCCAAGUAGUCUUUGCAGUAAAUGAUGAAUGCCAUAGGUUAGAUUAAGCUUUAAUAAAUUAGUUUAUCAGUAAUAAACUAACUAUUAAACAAUAUUUAGUCUAUAAAUGAAAGUGUAAGCAUUCCACCUCAAGAGUAAUGUGGCAACGCAGGAACUGAAAUCACUAGACCGUUUCUGACACCAGUAGUGAAGUAUGUUAUUUAUC
rnacentral:rRNA from 1 species